GAUCAUUACCGAGUUUACAACUCCCAAACCCCUGUGAACAUACCAAUUGUUGCCUCGGCGGAUCAGCCCGCUCCCGGUAAAACGGGACGGCCCGCCAGAGGACCCCUAAACUCUGUUUCUAUAUGUAACUUCUGAGUAAAACCAUAAAUAAAUCAAAACUUUCAACAACGGAUCUCUUGGUUCUGGCAUCGAUGAAGAACGCAGCAAAAUGCGAUAAGUAAUGUGAAUUGCAGAAUUCAGUGAAUCAUCGAAUCUUUGAACGCACAUUGCGCCCGCCAGUAUUCUGGCGGGCAUGCCUGUUCGAGCGUCAUUUCAACCCUCAAGCCCAGCUUGGUGUUGGGACUCGCGAGUCAAAUCGCGUUCCCCAAAUUGAUUGGCGGUCACGUCGAGCUUCCAUAGCGUAGUAGUAAAACCCUCGUUACUGGUAAUCGUCGCGGCCACGCCGUUAAACCCCAACUUCUGAAUGUUGACCUCGGAUCAGGUAGGAAUACCCGCUGAACCUAAGCAUAUCA
rnacentral:misc_RNA from 1 species